AUACGGAAGGUCCGGGCGUUAUCCGGAUUUAUUGGGUUUAAAGGGAGCGUAGGCGGGAGCUUAAGUCAGCGGUUAAAUGGUGCGGCUCAACCGUGCCCUGCCGUUGAAACUGGGUUUCUUGAGAGUGCAAGAGGCGGAUGGAAUUCAUGGGGUAGCGGUGAAAUGCUUAGAUAUCAUGAAGAACUCCGAUUGCGAAGGCAGUCCGCUGGGGCACGUCUGACGCUGAUGCUCGAAGGUGCGGGAAUCAAACAGGAUUAGAUACCCUGGUAGUCCGCACGGUAAACGAUGAUUACCCGCUGUCGGCGGUAGACAGUCGGCGGCCAAGCGAAAGCGAUAAGUAAUCCACCUGGGGAGUACGCCGGCAACGGUGAAACUCAAAGGAAUUGACGGGG
rnacentral:rRNA from 1 species